CACGUAGGCACCAAGCGUUGUCCGGAUUUACUGGGCGUAAAGAGCGCGCAGGCGGUUGGAUAAGUCGAAUGUGAAAGCCCCCGGCUCAACUGGGGAGGGUCAUUCGAUACUGUCCGACUCGAAGGCAGGAGAGGGAAGCGGAAUUCCCGGUGUAGUGGUGAAAUGCGUAGAUAUUGGGAGGAACACCAGUGGCGAAGGCGGCUCACUGGACCGGAACUGACGCUGAGGCGCGAAAGCGUGGGGAGCAAACAGG
rnacentral:rRNA from 1 species